GCACUAGCGGGGAGGCUGUGAGGAAGCGGUUUGAGUUCGCUUCGCAGCGGGCAGCCGGUUCUUCUCAAACUACGCAAGAAAGUGGAGAACUUUGUAGUAUGGCAGUUCUCAGUAUUACCUUUAUGCUGUGGAAGGAGAACACAGAACGCGGUGCAGGGAGAAGCAACCUAGGCAGAGCCCGCGGAUUACUUGUGUUGACAGGAUGGAGCUGAAUUCUGAGGGAAACCAAGGUAAAAGACACAAACUGAGCACUUACUGCUGAUCAAGGUGAACUGUGGCUGUUCCUGUUUGCUGUAUUGCAAGUUCAUCUGCUGAAUUCUCUUGUGUUUUCUACAGCCCCCUGGCACCCAAGGUAUGCCAGUUCCCUAUCAGUGCCCUGAAUCAGAUGAGACAGAAAUCAGUGGCCCCAGAAUCUAGAACAUUGACUAUAUAUUCUACCCUUGUCUUUCCUCUCCAAAAGAGAAGCCACAAGUUGGUCUUUGCCUCCCAAUUGUAAACUGUGCUAGUUUUGAGGAGCAGCUGACGUGGUUGAAAUGAACAGCUUUUUCACCACUUUCAUUGUGGCUCUUUUUGGAUUAUAGAUUAGUUUGGUGCUGCAUCUUCUGAACUGAAUUCUGGAGGCUUUUUAGGCUGCAUGUUGUUAAUGAUGUUUCUGUAGUACACUGGGGUAUGGGGCUUCCUAUUCUAUUAUUUUACUCAUGUUAGUCCUCUGGAUUUUGAGAAUAUCCUGAGUGACAUUAUUUUCUUAGUAUCUAGUACAUUUCCUGGCACACAGUUAGUGCUCAACAAAUAUCUGUAGACUAAAGGAAAUAGUCCCAGUUCAGGGUUAGAAUCUCAUAUGUUUCUAAAUGAUAUAAAAAUACUUGAUUUUAUAAAGACAUUAAAUCUUGAGAGGUUUGUUAAUUUCUCUUCUGGAGUAGAUUUCAGGGAGUUCCCUUGUGGUGCAGUGGGUUAAGGAUUGUGUGUUGUCACUGCAGAGGCUCAGAUGACUGCUGUGGCAUGAAUUGGAUCCCUCAUCUGGGAACUUCCACAUGCAGCAGGCACAGCCAAAAAAAAAAAAGAGUAGAUUUCAGGGCAUAGUUUUAGUGCAAAUUCAGUGUAUAAACAGCAAGACCUAGAGGUAUAAACAGCGAGACCUAGAGCAGUUCUUUCCAAUAGAAAUUUAUGCAAUAAAAAUGUUUAUUUCUGAUAUUCCAAAAGGUUGCCAGAAGCCAUAUGUGGUUUUAGAGCACAUGAAUUAUAUCUCAUGUGAAGGACAGAAUUUUAAAUUGUACUUAAAUUUAAUUAUUUUACAUUUGAUUUUAAAUAGCCAUAUAGGAGUUCCCGUAGUGGCGCAGUGGUUGACGAAUCCGACUAGGAACCAUGAGGUUGCGGGUUCGAUCCCUGCCCUUGCUCAGUGGGUUGACGAUCCGGCGUUGCCGUGAGCUGUGGUGUAGGUUGCAGACGCGGCUCGGAUCCUGCGUUGCUGUGGCUCUGGCGCAGGCGGGCAGCUACAGCUCCAAUUAGACCCCUAGCCUGGGAACCUCCAUAUGCCGCGGGAAUGGCCCAAGAAAUGGCAAAAAGACAAAAAAAAUAAAAUAAAAUAAAAAAUAAAUAGCCAUAUAUAGCUAAUAGUUACCACAUUAGAAAGUACAGCUCUAGAUGACUUGAAAGCUGGCAUGGGUCUCUCAAAAUGUAAUUUGAAAAUACUUAUGUUGUAACACUUUCCAUUUUUUCCUUAUAAAAAGAAACUACAGCGGUACAAAGUCAUUGUUAUAAUUUUUACCAUAAAUUUCUACAUGCUACCUGAA
ensembl:lncRNA